rnacentral:rRNA from 1 species
AACGAACGCUGGCGGCAGGCCUAACACAUGCAAGUCGAGCGAACCCUUCGGGGUUAGCGGCGGACGGGUUAGUAACGCGUGGGAAUAUGCCCAGAGGUACGGAACAACUGCUGGAAACGGCAGCUAAUACCGUAUGAGCCCUACGGGGAAAGAUUUAUCGCCUUUGGAUUAGCCCGCGUUGGAUUAGAUAGUUGGUGAGGUGACGGCUCACCAAGUCGACGAUCCACAGCUGGUUUGAGAGGAUGAUCAGCAACACUGGGACUGAGACACGGCCCAGACUCCUACGGGAGGCAGCAGUGGGAAUCUUGGACAAUGGGGGCAACCCUGAUCCAGCCAUGCCGCGUGCGUGAAGAAGGCCUUAGGGUUGUAAAGCGCUUUCACCGGUGACGAUGAUGACGGUAGCCGGAGAAGAAGCCCCGGCUAACUCCGUG